rnacentral:tRNA from 1 species
GGAGACGUGCCAGAGUGGUCGAAUGGGACUGACUCGAAAUCAGUUAAGUGGGCAACUGCUUCGUGAGUUCGAAUCUCACCGUCUCCG